GACGAACGCUGGCGGCGUGCCUAAUACAUGCAAGUAGGACGCUGAAGGCGGAGCUUGCUUCUCUGGAUGAGUUGCGAACGGGUGAGUAACGCGUAGGUAACCUGCCUGUUAGCGGGGGAUAACUAUUGGAAACGAUAGCUAAUACCGCAUAAUAGCACCUGUUGCAUGAUAUUUGCUGAAAAGGUGCAAUUGCAUCACUACCAGAUGGACCUGCGUUGGAUUAGCUAGUUGGUGGGGUAACGGCUCACCAAGGCGACGAUACAUAGCCGACAUGAGAGGGGGAUCGGCCAGACUGGGACUGAGACACGGCACAGACGGCUACAGGAGGCAGCAAGAGGGAAUCGGCGGGAAGGGGUGGAAGACUGACCGAGCAAGGCCGAAUGAGUGAAGAAGGUUGUCGGGUGGGAAAGGACUGUUGUAAGGGAAGAAAGCGCGUGAGCCUGGAAAGAUCACACUGUGACGGUAACUUAUAAAAAAGGAACGGCUAACUACGUG
rnacentral:rRNA from 1 species